rnacentral:rRNA from 1 species
GCUAAACGCGAAGAACCUUACCGGGGCUUGACAUCUUUCUGACCGCCUGGGAAACCAGGUCUUCUUCCUUCGGGAAGACGGAAAGACAGGUGGUGCAUGGUUGUCGUCAGCUCGUGUCGUGAGAUGUUGGGUUAAGUCCCACAACGAGCGCAACCCUUGUCCUUAUUUGCCAGCCUGUUUACAGGCGUACUUUAAGGAGACUGCCGUAGAUAAUACGGAGGAAGGUGGGGAUGACGUCAAGUCCUCAUGGCCCUUACGGCCAGGGCUACACACGUACUACAAUGGUCGGUACAGAGGGUUGCCAAACCGCAAGGUGGAGCCAAUCCCAGAAAGCCGAUCCCAGUCCGGAUCGGAGUCUGCAACUCGACUCCGUGAAGUCGGAAUCGCUAGUAAUCGCAGAUCAGCAACGCUGCGGUGAAUACGUUCCCGGGUCUUGUACACACCG